AGUGAACGCUGGCGGUAGGCCUAACACAUGCAAGUCGAACGGCAGCACAGUAAGAGCUUGCUCUUACGGGUGGCGAGUGGCGGACGGGUGAGGAAUACAUCGGAAUCUACUUUUUCGUGGGGGAUAACGUAGGGAAACUUACGCUAAUACCGCAUACGACCUACGGGUGAAAGCAGGGGAUCUUCCGACCUUGCGCGAUUGAAUGAGCCGAUGUCGGAUUAGCUAGUUGGCGGGGUAAAGGCCCACCAAGGCGACGAUCCGUAGCUGGUCUGAGAGGAUGAAGAGCAACACGGGAACUGAGGGACCGUCCAGACACCUACGGCAGGUAGCAGUAGGGAAUAUUGGUCUAUAGGUGAAAGUCUGAUCCAGCCAUACCGCGUGGGUUAAGAAGACCUUCGGGUGUGAAAAGCCUUUUGUUAGGAAAGAAAAGAAGCAGGUUAAUACCCCGCUGUACUGACGUUACCUAAAGAAUAAGCACCGGCUAACUACGUG
rnacentral:rRNA from 1 species